rnacentral:rRNA from 1 species
AUGUUUCUGUGGAUAGUAGGUUCCCCUCAAUCUGUAAGACAAGCAGAAAACAGAUUUGUUAGGUCAUUGGAGACAAUUGUAAGGAAGUUUGAUAAGGUUUUGGCAUGUGUGAUCAAGCUUGCAAAAGACAUCAUCAGGCCAAUAGAUCGUCAAUUCAGAACUGUGCAUUCAAAAUUAAGAUCUUGAAAGUAUGCACCAUUUAUGGAUAAUUGCAUUGGUGCAAUAGAUGGGACACACAUACAAGUUGUGGUACCAGUUGCCACUGCUGCCCAGCAUAGGAAUAGACAUAAGGAGAAGAGUCAGAAUGUGAUGUGUGUGUGUGACUUUGAUAUGAGAUUCACCUUUGUCCUAGCUGGUUGGCCAGGAUCAGUGCAUGUCAUGAGGGUCUUCAAUGAUGCCCGAUCCAGAUUUGGUGACAAGUUUCCAAAACCUCCACCUAAUAAGUUCUAUCUUGUGGACUCAGGGUACCCAAAUAGAUCAGGUUAUCUUGCACCAUACAAUGGUUUAACCUAUCAUUUCCAGGAGUACCGUGAUGGCACAAUGCCUAGAGGAAAAAGGGAACACUUCAAUUUCACCCAUUCUUCACUUAGAAAUGUCAUCGAGAGGUGUUUUGGAGUCUUGAAGAACAAGUGGAGGAUUUUGUUUCACUUGCCUAGUUAUCCACAACAGAAACAAAGCAAAAUCAUUAUGGCUUGCAUUGCACUACACAAUUUUAUUAGACAAAGUCAACUCGCCGAUAUAGAUUUCGACUUGUGUGAUCAAGAUAAAAAUUAUGUACCAUUGUCUAUGCCAACGACUACAACAAAUGAUUCAACAAAUGAGAUGGACAGUGCUACUAUGAAUCAAUUCAGGGCUUGGGUCGCUGAUGGGUUGUGGUCCUUGAAACAACAAUGA